rnacentral:rRNA from 1 species
UACGUAGGGUGCAAGCGUUGUCCGGAAUUAUUGGGCGUAAAGAGCUCGUAGGCGGCCUGUUGCGUCCGCUGUGAAAUCCCGGGGCUCAACCCCGGGCCUGCAGUGGAUACGGGCUGGCUAGAGGCAGGCAGGGGAGAACGGAAUUCCUGGUGUAGCGGUGAAAUGCGCAGAUAUCAGGAGGAACACCGAUGGCGAAGGCAGGUCACUGGGCCGCAACUGACGCUGAGGAGCGAAAGCAUGGGGAGCGAACAGG